CGGUGGAGAUGUGGUUUAAUUCGAUGCAACGCGAAAAACCUUACCCACCUUUGACAUGUACGGAAUCCUUUAGAGAUAGAGGAGUGCUCGAAAGAGAACCGUAACACAGGUGCUGCAUGGCUGUCGUCAGCUCGUGUCGUGAGAUGUUGGGUUAAGUCCCGCAACGAGCGCAACCCUUGUCAUUAGUUGCUACAUUUAGUUGGGCACUCUAAUGAGACUGCCGGUGACAAACCGGAGGAAGGUGGGGAUGACGUCAAGUCCUCAUGGCCCUUAUAGGUGGGGCUACACACGUCAUACAAUGGCUGGUACAGAGGGUUGCCAACCCGCGAGGGGGAGCCAAUCCCAUAAAGCCAGUCGUAGUCCGGAUCGCAGUCUGCAACUCGACUGCGUGAAGUCGGAAUCGCUAGUAAUCGCGGAUCAGAAUGUCGCGGUGAAUACGUUCCCGGGUCUUGUACACACCGCCCGUCACACCAUGGGAGCGGGUUCUGCCAGAAGUAGGUAGCCUAACCGUAAGGAGGGCGCUUACCACGGCAGGGUUCGUGACUGGGGUGAAGUCCUAACAA
rnacentral:rRNA from 1 species